CGCAAGCCGUGAUGCAGCCAUGCCGCGUGUGUGAAGAAGGCCUUCGGGUUGUAAAGUCACUUUCAGUCGUGAGGAGGUAGUGUAGUUAAUAGCUGCAUUUAUUUGUACGUUAGCGACAGAAGAAGCACCGGCUAACUCCGUGCCAGCAGCCGCGGUAAUACGGAGGGUGCGAGCGUUAAUCGGAAUUACUGGGCGUAAAGCGCAUGCAGGUGGUUUGUUAAGUCAGAUGUGAAAGCCCGGGGCUCAACCUCGGAAUAGCAUUUUGAAAACUGGCAGACUAGAGUACUGUAGGAGGGGGUAGAAUUUCAGGUGUAGCGGUAGAAAUGCGUAGAGAUCUGAAGGAAUACCGGUGGCGAAGGCCGGCCCCCUGGACAGAUACUGACACUCAGAUGACGAAAGCGGUGGGGAGACAAACAGGUAUUAGACUACCCGUGGUAG
rnacentral:rRNA from 1 species